GACGAACGCUGGCGGCGUGCCCAACACAUGCAAGUCGAGCGAGAAACUUCGGUUUCUAGCGGCGGACGGGUGAGUAACACGUGGGUAACCUGCCUCAUAGAGGGGGAUAGCCUUCCGAAGGGAAGAUUAAUACCGCAUAACAUAUUUUAGUCGCAUGACUAGAAUAUCAAAGAUUUAUCGCUAUGAGAUGGACCCGCGGCGCAUUAGCUAGUUGGUGAGGUAACGGCUCACCAAGGCGACGAUGCGUAGCCGACCUGAGAGGGUGAUCGGCCACAUUGGAACUGAGAUACGGUCCAGACUCCUGCGGGAGGCAGCAGUGGGGAAUAUUGCACAAUGGGCGAAAGCCUGAUGCAGCAACGCCGCGUGAGUGAUGAAGGCCUUCGGGUUGUAAAACUCUGUCUUUGGGGACGAUAAUGACGGUACCCAAGGAGGAAGCCACGGCUAACUACGUGCCAGCCGCCGCCGUAAAAC
rnacentral:rRNA from 1 species